rnacentral:rRNA from 1 species
UCAUCUCCGGGGGUAGAGCACUGUUUCGGCUAGGGGGCCAUCCCGGCUUACCAACCCGAUGCAAACUGCGAAUACCGGAGAAUGUUAUCACGGGAGACACACGGCGGGUGCUAACGUCCGUCGUGAAGAGGGAAACAACCCAGACCGCCAGCUAAGGUCCCAAAGUCAUGGUUAAGUGGGAAACGAUGUGGGAAGGCCCAGACAGCCAGGAUGUUGGCUUAGAAGCAGCCAUCAUUUAAAGAAAGCGUAAUAGCUCACUGGUCGAGUCGGCCUGCGCGGAAGAUGUAACGGGGCUAAACCAUGCACCGAAGCUGCGGCAGCGAACGUAUCACCCAAGACAACUUUGCGGAGUUGACGAUUGACGGAGCGAAGCGACGUCAAAGCGUUCAUUAAAGUCGAGUUGGCUUAGGGAUACGUUCGUUGGGUAGGGGAGCGUUCUGUAAGCCAGUGAAGGUGUGUCGUGAGGCAUGCUGGAGGUAUCAGAAGUGCGAAUGCUGACAUAAGUAACGAUAAAGCGGGUGAAAAGCCCGCUCGCCGGAAGACCAAGGGUUCCUGUCCAACGUUAAUCGGGGCAGGGUGAGUCGACCCCUAAGGCGAGGCCGAAAGGCGUAGUCGAUGGGAAACGGGUUAAUAUUCCCGUACUUGGUGUUACUGCGAAGGGGGGACGGAGAAGGCUAUGUUGGCCGGGCGACGGUUGUCCCGGUUUAAGCGUGUAGGUGUGUGUUCCAGGUAAAUCCGGUU